UUGCUGGCGGCGGCCUACACAUGCAGUCGAGCGGUAGAGAGAAGCUUGCUUCUCUUGAGAGCGGCGGACGGGUGAGUAAUGCCUAGGAAUCUGCCUGGUAGUGGGGGAUAACGUUCGGAAACGGACGCUAAUACCGCAUACGUCCUACGGGAGAAAGCAGGGGACCUUCGGGCCUUGCGCUAUCAGAUGAGCCUAGGUCGGAUUAGCUAGUUGGUGGGGUAAUGGCUCACCAAGGCGACGAUCCGUAACUGGUCUGAGAGGAUGAUCAGUCACACUGGAACUGAGACACGGUCCAGACUCCUACGGGAGGCAGCAGUGGGGAAUAUUGGACAAUGGGCGAAAGCCUGAUCCAGCCAUGCCGCGUGUGUGAAGAAGGUCUUCGGAUUGUAAAGCACUUUAAGUUGGGAGGAAGGGCAGUAAAUUAAUACUUUGCUGUUUUGACGUUACCGACAGAAUAAGCACCGGCUAACUCUGUGCCAGCAGCCGCGGUAAUACAGAGGGUGCGAGCGUUAAUCGGAAUUACUGGGCGUAGAGCGCGCGUAGGUGGUUCGUUAACCUGGAUGUGUAAUCUCCGGGCUCAACCUGGGGAACUGCAUUCAAAACUGACGAGCUAGAUGA
rnacentral:rRNA from 1 species